CCUACGGGAGGCAGCAGUGGGGGAUAUUGCACAAUGGGGGAAACCCUGAUGCAGCGACGCCGCGUGGGUGAAGAAGUAUUUCGGUAUGUAAAGCCCUAUCAGCAGGGAAGAAAGAAGACGGUACCUGACUAAGAAGCCCCGGCUAACUACGUGCCAGCAGCCGCGGUAAUACGUAGGGGGCGAGCGUUAUCCGGAUUCACUGGGUGUAAAGGGAGCGUAGACGGCCGUGCAAGCCAGGAGUGAAAGCCCGGGGCCCAACCCCGGGACUGCUCUUGGAACUGUGCGGCUGGAGUGCGGGAGGGGCAGGCGGAAUUCCUGGGGUAGCGGUGAAAUGCGUAGAUAUCAGGAGGAACACCGGCGGCGAAGGCGGCCUGCUGGACCGCGACUGACGUUGAGGCUCGAAAGCGUGGGGAGCGAACAGGAUUAGAUACCCUGGUAGUC
rnacentral:rRNA from 1 species